AUUGAACGCUGGCGGCAGGCCUAACACAUGCAAGUCGAGCGAGCGGCGGACGGGUGAGUAAUGUCUGGGAAACUGCCUGAUGGAGGGGGAUAACUACUGGAAACGGUAGCUAAUACCGCAUACCAUCAGAUGUGCCGAGAUGGGAUUAGCUAGUGGGUGGGGUAACGGCUCACCUAGGCGACGAUCCAUAGCGGGUCUGCGAGGAUGACCAGCAACACUGGAACGGAGACACGGUCCAGACUCCUACGGGAGGCAGCAGUGGGGAAUAUUGCACAAUGGGGGCAAGCCUGAUGCAGCAAUGCCGCGUGUGUGAAGAGGGCCUUCGGGUUGUAAAGCACUUUCAGCGGGGAGGCGUUACCCACAGAGAAAGCACCGGCUAACUCCGUGCCAGCAGCCGCGGUAAUAC
rnacentral:rRNA from 1 species